ACAGAGGCCUCGAGCGUUAGGCGGAAUCACUGGGCGUAAAGGGCGUGCAGGCGGUCAGGUAAGUGGGAUGUGAAAUGCCCCGGCUCACCCGGGGACCGGCAUCCCAUACUGCUUGGCUUGAGUACGGGAGAGGAUGUGGGAAUUCCUGGUGUAGCGGUGAAAUGCGUAGAUAUCAGGAGGAACACCGGUGGCGAAGGCGCACAUCUGGCCCGAUACUGACGCUGAGGCGCGAAAGCUAGGGGAGCAAACGGGA
rnacentral:rRNA from 1 species